rnacentral:rRNA from 1 species
GCUUGUCUCAAAGAUUAAGCCAUGCAUGUCUAAGUAUAAGCAUUAUACAGUGAAACUGCGAAUGGCUCAUUAUAUCAGUUAUAGUUUAUUUGAUAGUCCCUACUAUUUGGAUAACCGUAGUAAUUCUAGAGCUAAUACAUGCGUCCAGCGGCCUUUACGGGUCGCGUAUUUAUUAGAUACAAUCAGCCCCCUCGGGGUCAUGAUGAAUCAUAAUAACUGAACGAAGCGCAUGCCUUGCGCAGCGCUGUUUCAUUCAAGUUUCUGCCCUAUCAGCUUUCGAUGGUAGGGUAUUGGCCUACCAUGGCGUUAACGGGUAACGGAGAAUUAGGGUUCGAUUCCGGAGAGGGAGCCUGAGAGAUGGCUACCACAUCCAAGGAAGGCAGCAGG